GUAGAGUGCUGGGGUGUUUGACUAAAGUAGUUUUAAGCUGAAUUAUGUUUCUUUGUAUAAUUAAUGGAGUUUCCUGAUUCCAUCCCUUGCUCAGUCUGUACCCAAACCCAAAUGAGGCACUGUACAGCUUUGAAGAAAAUUGAUGUCUAUUUUGGCAACUGAACUGCCACUCACAUCAUGAUUUUGGGUCAGCAGUUAAGUCAAGCAUAAGAGCAACGUGACUAGGACAUCAUUCUCCAUUCCACAUCAAGAAAGCAAAAGACAAAAAUAUCAUGAGACCAGACAGUGGAACAGAUUGAAACAAGCAUAAAUUCAGCUGUGAAAAGAAUUCAAA